UCUUCCUUUUCUUCUCUUAUUGACUUCUCUUUUAUUUUUUUCAAUCCCUAAUCAUUUUUCGAUUUACUAUGUUCUCAUCUUCAUCAUUGCACUUUCCUUACACAACACCAAAACCCAACAACUUUCUAUUCGUUUUCCUUUCCUCUCUGACUCUUUCCAUCCUUACACAGUGAACAAGUUAAAUUAAGCGAUAGCAAUAAAAAAAUAUGCUUCUAAUAUGCAAACAAAUUAAUUGUUCAGUUUGCUUUUCAGAAAUCCAAUCCAAUUUGGUUAACAAUAAUUCAAGCUGAAGCAACCUCUCUUUUCUUGCCUUCUAAAUAAGAGAUUGCGGAAUAAGCUACAUUCAGUUUCCCUCAGUCAUUCAAUCCUAUUUUUUGCUCGCUUAACAUGGUCUUCGCUUUUUAAUUAACCUUUGAUUCAUUUUCUUGUAUCAUCAGCUAAUCAUUCUGCCAGUAAUCAAAUCUUAAUUAUUCUAACUGACAUACAAUCAAGUAUUAAUAUAAUUUUUACUAGCAUUUCUUCCUCUUUUCCCUCUAUAUAUCUCUUUCUCUCGCUAAGUGUCUCCCUUUGCUUCACUACCAUUAUCAAAAAGUCAAAACCUUAGUAAAGCCAGUGUAUCCUAUCAACAUCAGUGUUCAUCAUAAUCAUAAUAAUAGUAAUCUCUCUCUCUCUCUUUCCAUUUUUCUUUCUCUAUUUCAUUCUAAUGCAUCGCCAUGAUUACAUAUUUUAUGGAAUCCUUAUAUAACCUUUCUUCGCCUUUUUAAAUCCUCUCUUGCUCAGGCUCCGAUCAUGUAAAGAAAGAGAUAAAUGAAAAAAGCUAACUGUAAGGGAUGGAAGAUAAAAGAGAAGCCUUUCCAAAACCAAAAUUUAUUUAAUUUCAACUGUCCAAUAUUUAUCCUCUUUAUUUUUAACCUUUUGCAAUGUGAUUCUUGUGUUAUUCAUCAAUUCCUAGCCUUACCAGCCAUUUACGAUGGCAAUCAUGAUAAUUUUACCUUCUUUCUCUAUUUAUUUGUAUAAAACACCUUAUAAUCGAUUACUAUGUCUAUUUUAAUCUAUGAUCCACCUAUCUAUUCUAUCAUUAAUCGUUGUUUUCUUUCUCUAAUUCAUUCAAUUUCACUAUCAGUAUUAACAUCAUCAACAUCUCUUUAUACUGACUUUUUUGUUUAUUUAAAGCUCUCAUUCUACGCCAAUUUGAUAUAUUUUCACAUGAAAUGUACACUCUUCCUGCAAUUCAAAUUCACUGACUCUAAUAUCCAUGAGAUUAUUGGGCCUUAUUUCAUGGUGGUUUUUUCACCUGAGACUUUAUCUCUGUUGGACUCUACAGCCAAUUGACUUGAAGAACCACUAAAUCCCAUGAUCAUUUCAUACGAGAAAUUCAUCGAGAUCUUCAAAAAGCCUUCCUCACUCAAUCGGGUGGUGGUGUGAGAGCAGUUUCGAGCUUUUACUAAUUUCAUCACAACCUCCUUGAGUGAGUGAGGCUUUCAAUUCAAUCAUCUACUUGUAUUGAUCAAGUUAAUCUCCAAUAUUAUUAAUUUUGUAUCCAGCCAAAUUCCAUACAAGCUUUCAAUCACUAAAAUCGGAUUUUGAUUGAUUAAUGGCACUCCAUUUGAUUAUUUACCAUCAUAUUAGCUAAUGGAGUUUAAGUUGAUAAAAGUGAUCAACAAUUUCUGAAUUUCCAUGUUACAUUUAAUUAUAUUAUAAAUAUUCCAUGUAUGUAACUCACUUUACUUGUUAAAAAUGAUGAGUAAAACAUUUGCAUGAAUGCCUUAUAAGGUCAUGCAUGUUUUCCCCCUAAUAUAAUAUACUUAAAACUAACUCAAUAUAAUUACUGUGGGAUAGUUUUUUGAUAAGUUGAUUAAUUAUUGGAUUCCAUAGAAAUGAAUAUCAUACAGUUUUUCAAAACUGGUCACGCAACUCACAUGGAAAAUUGGAUUUGAAGCAUUGAUUUUUAAUCUACAAUAGAUUUAUAAUAGACAAACACAAUGAGGUUACACAAAGGAAAAAAUGUAAAAGGAUUGAUUUGGAAGCAUUGGUUAAAAAAUGUUGAUUUUAACAAGUCUGAUUAAAAGGAGAAACUAGUUUUUGCUUCGACGAA